rnacentral:rRNA from 1 species
CAUUCCGAACACAGUAGUUAAGCCCUCCAGCGCCGAUGGUACUCGGCUGGCAACGGCCCGGGAGAGUAGGUCGCCGCCGGAU